AUGAAGUCGGAAUUGCUAGUAAUCGCGGAUCAGCAUGCCGCGGUGAAUACGUUCCCGGGCCCUUGUACACACCGCCCGUCACACCAUGGGAGCCGGUAAUACCCGAAGUCAGUAGUCCAACCUCGUGAGGACGCUGCCGAAGGUAGGAUUGGCGACUGGGGUGAAGUCGUAACAAGGUAGC
rnacentral:rRNA from 1 species